rnacentral:rRNA from 1 species
GACGAACGCUGGCGGCGUGCUUAACACAUGCAAGUCGAACGGAAAGGCCCUGCUUUUGUGGGGUGCUCGAGUGGCGAACGGGUGAGUAACACGUGAGUAACCUGCCCUUGACUUUGGGAUAACUUCAGGGAACUGGGGCUAAUACCGGAUAGGAGCUCCUGCUGCAUGGUGGGGGUUGGAAAGUUUCGGCGGUUGGGGAUGGACUCGCGGCUUAUCAGCUUGUUGGUGGGGUAGUGGCUUACCAAGGCUUUGACGGGUAGCCGGCCUGAGAGGGUGACCGGCCACAUUGGGACUGAGAUACGGCCCAGACUCCUACGGUAGGCAGCAGUGGGGAAUAUUGCACAAUGGGCGGAAGCCUGAUGCAGCAACGCCGCGUGCGGGAUGACGGCCUUCGGGUUGUAAACCGCUUUCGCCUGUGACGAAGCGUGAGUGACGGUAAUGGGUAAAGAAGCACCGGCUAACUACGUG